rnacentral:rRNA from 1 species
GAUGAACGCUGGCGGCGUGCCUAAUACAUGCAAGUCGAGCGAACAGACGAGGAGCUUGCUCCUUUGACGUUAGCGGCGGACGGGUGAGUAACACGUGGGUAACCUACCCAUAAGACUGGGAUAACUUCGGGAAACCGGAGCUAAUACCGGAUAAUAUUUCGAACCGCAUGGUUCGAUAGUGAAAGAUGGCUUUGCUAUCACUUAUAGAUGGACCUGCGCCGUAUUAGCUAGUUGGUAAGGUAACGGCUUACCAAGGCAACGAUACGUAGCCGACCUGAGAGGGUGAUCGGCCACACUGGAACUGAGACACGGUCCAGACUCCUACGGGAGGCAGCAGUAGGGAAUCUUCCGCAAUGGGCGAAAGCCUGACGGAGCAACGCCGCGUGAGUGAUGAAGGUCUUCGGAUCGUAAAACUCUGUUAUUAGGGAAGAACAAACGUGUAAGUAACUGUGCACGUCUUGACGGUACCUAAUCAGAAAGCCACGGCUAACUACGCG